rnacentral:rRNA from 1 species
AACGAACGCUGGCGGCAGGCUUAACACAUGCAAGUCGAACGGAUCCUUCGGGAUUAGUGGCAGACGGGUGAGUAACGCGUGGGAACGUACCCUUUGCUACGGAAUAACUCCGGGAAACUUGAGCUAAUACCGUAUGUGCCCUACGGGGGAAAGAUUUAUCGGCAAAGGAUCGGCCCGCGUUGGAUUAGCUAGUUGGUGGGGUAAUGGCCUACCAAGGCGACGAUCCAUAGCUGGUCUGAGAGGAUGAUCAGCCACACUGGGACUGAGACACGGCCCAGACUCCUACGGGAGGCAGCAGUGGGGAAAAUUGGACAAUGGGCGCAAGCCUGAUCCAGCCAGGCCGGGUGAGUGAUGAAGGUCUUAGGAUUGAAAGGCUCUUUAACCGGGGAGGAUAAUAACGGAACGCGGAGAAGAGGCCCCGCCUACCUUCGU